rnacentral:rRNA from 1 species
GCCUAAUACAUGCAAGUCGAACGCACAGCGAAAGGUGCUUGCACCUUUCAAGUGAGUGGCGAACGGGUGAGUAACACGUGGACAACCUGCCUCAAGGCUGGGGAUAACAUUUGGAAACAGAUGCUAAUACCGAAUAAAACUUAGUGUCGCAUGACACAAAGUUAAAAGGCGCUUCGGCGUCACCUAGAGAUGGAUCCGCGGUGCAUUAGUUAGUUGGUGGGGUAAAGGCCUACCAAGACAAUGAUGCAUAGCCGAGUUGAGAGACUGAUCGGCCACAUUGGGACUGAGACACGGCCCAAACUCCUACGGGAGGCUGCAGUAGGGAAUCUUCCACAAUGGGCGAAAGCCUGAUGGAGCAACGCCGCGUGUGUGAUGAAGGCUUUCGGGUCGUAAAGCACUGUUGUAUGGGAAGAACAGCUAGAAUAGGAAAUGAUUUUAGUUUGACGGUACCAUACCAGAAAGGGACGGCUAAAUACGUGCCAGCAGCCGCGGUAAUACGUAUGUCCCGAGCGUUAUCCGGAUUUAUUGGGCGUAAAGCGAGCGCAGACGGUUUAUUAAGUCUGAUGUGAAAGCCCGGAGCUCAACUCCGGAAUGGCAUUGGAAACUGGUUAACUUGAGUGCAGUAGAGGUAAGUGGAACUCCAUGUGUAGCGGUGGAAUGCGUAGAUAUAUGGAAGAACACCAGUGGCGAAGGCGGCUUACUGGACUGCAACUGACGUUGAGGCUCGAAAGUGUGGGUAGCAAACAGGAUUAGAUACCCUGGUAGUCCACACCGUAAACGAUGAACACUAGGUGUUAGGAGGUUUCCGCCUCUUAGUGCCGAAGCUAACGCAUUAAGUGUUCCGCCUGGGGAGUACGACCGCAAGGUUGAAACUCAAAGGAAUUGACGGGGACCCGCACAAGCGGUGGAGCAUGUGGUUUAAUUCGAAGCAACGCGAAGAACCUUACCAGGUCUUGACAUCCUUUGAAGCUUUUAGAGAUAGAAGUGUUCUCUUCGGAGACAAAGUGACAGGUGGUGCAUGGUCGUCGUCAGCUCGUGUCGUGAGAUGUUGGGUUAAGUCCCGCAACGAGCGCAACCCUUAUUGUUAGUUGCCAGCAUUCAGAUGG